GAGUGCAGUGGUGUAAUCCCAGCUCACUGCAGCCUCUGCCUCCCGGGUUCAAGCGAUUCUCCUGCCUCAGCCUCCUGAGUAGCUGGGACCACAAGCGUAUGCCAACACGCCUGGCUAAUUUUUGUAUUUUUGGUGGAGACAGGGUUUCACCAUGUUGGCCAGGAUAGUAUCGAACUCCUGACCUCUAGUGAUCCACCCGUCUUGGCCUCCCAAAGUGCUGGGAUUACAGACAUGAGCCACUGCACCCGGCCUACUAUAAGAAUUCUACCCCAAAGAGGCACUUUAUAUUACCUGAUCUAACUCCAGUCCAAUAUCCCCUAAGACGCCUUCUCUGACCACUCCAGGGCACAAUGAUCUCAAGGUUCAGCAUCUCCAGAGAUGAGCUUUCCAAAUACCUGAUGAAGAUAUGCAUGUGAAAAGGAAUUAAUGACAGGCAUUAACACUAUAUUGGCCAGAGGACUCAUUAGCUGAUUCCGCAGGUUUUAUAAUAUGCUACUCUUGCUAACAUACACCACUAUUUUUCUUAAUUACAAAUGCAACAUGUAACUCAGGUGUUUAGGACUAUGAAAAGAAAAAAUGGGCAACAUUUGUAGCCAGAAAUUUCUAUAAUAAGUUUCACAAAAUAUUUUGUUACACUCUUAAAAUAUAUUACGGCAAUUAUCCUGUGCUAGAAUAUGUCAUAAGGACACUCACUUGAGACGUAAUCAGUCUGAAUACUCGCAGA
rnacentral:sRNA from 1 species